rnacentral:tRNA from 1 species
GGAGAAGUGCUCGAGUGGUUGAAGAGGUACGCCUGGAAAGCGUAUAUGCGGGUAACCGUAUCGAGGGUUCGAAUCCCUCUUUCUCCGC